ensembl:lncRNA
GGGACUGUCCCUCCUAACAUGUAACUGAAUUUGUCAACAUAAACUGGGUUGGAAAGUUAUAGGGGGAAACACACACAAACAAAACAGGUGUAGGAGUCAUGCCGUUUUCAAAUCCUUUCAAUUCUCGUUCAUAGUUCAGCUGAUCGUCGUCCUUGAGACGCGACAAGGACGUCAAGCAUCCUUCAGCAAAUCGUUGCCAAGUCGUGCCAAAUGCCGUUUAAACCGGAUUUGCCCGCAUUGCUUCAUCACGUUCUUUCUUAAAGCAGUACGACAUCUUGGGUGCAACGGAAACGAGAAACCAGUUUCUCGUAGCACCAGCAGUCUUUCCUGUCCAAAAGUGCAAACUAGGUUUCACUGCCCGCAGACAAAUCAGGUCAAUGAAUUCCUUUAACACGUCUUGGUAGGGUGAUUCAUUUGGCAGAAAGAGCAUCAUCUUACCCUCGAGAUAAAUCCACACAAGGUGCCUUAGGAAGCGCAGGAGGAGGUCUCGUAUAAAGGAAAUCGUUCUGGCUCUCCCGCCAAACAUAAUGAAUAUCGCCUUGCUUUCGGUCAGGCGGUGGCUGGGACUUAAUUGACAGGGGUGCCUGAGCGUCUCCGCAGAGAGGCCAGGGUCACUACAGACAGAAGCUGAAAGUCGUUCACUGCUCUCCUAGUGAGGAGAGGGCCCGCGCAGGGUGCAGGGACCCAGGGAAAGCCGCAGGUUUUAAAGCGCUGUGGAAGUUUGAGGGGGCGUGUCGAAGCCUGAGCUGAGAUCUGGUGGUUUGGGGAAAAAAGUUCUGCAGGAAGCGGGCAGAGGUGUGGGCCAAGCCAGCUGCUGCAUAUCCCUUUUUGAAUAAGCCGAGCGUGUUUGGAGCUCUGGAGGUGGUCUCUGAGAAGCCGGGGACGGGGACCGUGGGCACAUGGGCUACGUGUGUGUGAGAAUCAAAUCUGGACGCACUCGUGUCUCGAGAGGGCUGAGAAAGCUUGCUAGGGGUAGUGUCAUUGCACCCGAAUCCUUGGGCACGUUGUGGCCAUCAGAAGCCGUGCAGGGACUCCAGAUGGCGGGAGACACCGUUCCCGAAGCUCCUUGAGUGCAGGCGUCUCUGAGGGCGCUGACGGGACUGUCUGUUGACUCUGAUGUGGAAGGGAGAUGUGUACAUGAGCACCG